rnacentral:tRNA from 1 species
UCCUUAGUAGAUCAGUGGUAGAGCGGUCGGUUGUUAACCGAUUGGUCGUAGGUGCGAAUCCUACUUGGAGAG